CUACGGGUUGCUGCAGUCGAGAAUCUUCCGCAAUGGACGAAAGUCUGACGGAGCGACGCCGCGUGCGGGAUGAAGGCCUUCGGGUUGUAAACCGCUGUCAGUGGGGAGGAAAUGCAUCAGGGUUCUCCCUGGUGUUUGACCGAUCCGCAGAGGAAGCGCAGGCUAAGUUCAUGCCAGCAGCCGCGGUAACACGAACUGCGCGAACGUUAUUCGGAGUCACUGGGCUUAAAGAGUUCGUAGGCGGCCUUUCAAGUCGGGUGUGAAAUCCCUCGGCUCAACCGAGGAAUUGCGCCUGAUACUGUUGGGCUUGAGGGGGAUAGGGGUGAGCGGAACUGAUGGUGGAGCGGUGAAAUGCGUUGAUAUCAUCAGGAACACCGGUGGCGAAGGCGGCUCACUGGAUCUCUUCUGACGCUGAGGAACGAAAGCUAGGGGAGCGAACGGGAUUAGAUACCCCAGUAGUC
rnacentral:rRNA from 1 species